AGCGAACGCUGGCGGCAGGCCUAACACAUGCAAGUCGAACGAUCCUUCGGGAUAGUGGCGGACGGGUGAGUAACACGUGGGAACGUACCUUUAGGUUCGGGAUAACUCAGGGAAACUUGAGCUAAUACCGGAUAAGCCCUUUUGGGGAAAGAUUUACCGCCUUUAGAGCGGCCCGCGUUAGAUUAGCUAGUUGGUGGGGUAAAGGCCCACCAAGGCUCCGAUCUAUAGCUGGUCUGAGAGGAUGAUCAGCCACACUGGGACUGAGACACGGCCCAGACUCCUACGGGAGGCAGCAGUGGGGAAUCUUGCGCAAUGGGCGAAAGCCUGACGCAGCCAUGCCGCGUGAAUGAUGAAGGUCUUAGGAUUGUAAAAUUCUUUUAGCAGGGACGAUAAUGACGGUACCUGCAGAAAAAGCCCCGGCUAACUUCGUGCCAGCAGCCGCGGUAAGAC
rnacentral:rRNA from 1 species